CGGAGACUCAUUCUUUCAGCAAGGUGACCAAAAUCUGUUUCGCUCUGCAGCACUUGUCCCGGAGGCUUUGUAGACAGAGUGACUGAACGAAAACCUAAAUGAGAAAUAGGAACAACAUGUUUAGAAGAUGAAGUGUGGAAGCCUCGGCAGCUUCAGUAUGCUGUGUACCUCAUCUUGAACUCUUUCACAUGGUGAUUCCUACACAUAAUUGCACACUGUAUGUGUUUAGCUAUCCUAUCUUACAAAGACUUAUGCCAACACUGUAUCUGCCUUUC